rnacentral:miRNA from 1 species
UAAAGUCUUUAGCGACAUUGGUUC